rnacentral:rRNA from 1 species
GGGCGAAGCCUGACUAUGCGACGCCGCGUGAGGGAUGAAGGUUCUCGGAUCGUAAACCUCUUUUUGCAGGAAAGAAACCUUUGAUGGAAAUACCAUCGAAGCUGACGGUACCUGCAGAAUAAGCCACGGCCAACUCCGUGCCAGCAGCCGCGGUAAUACGGAGGUGGCAAGCGUUACUCGGAAUCAUUGGGUGUAAAGGGCAAGUAGGCGGUCUAUUAAGUGAGGGGUGAAAUCCUGCGACUCAAUCGCAGAACUGCCUUUCAAACUGGUAGGCUUGAGAGUGGAAGAGGAAAAUGGAAUUCUCGGUGUAAGGGUGAAAUCUGUAGAUAUCGAGAAGAACACCAGCGGCGAAGGCGAUUUUCUGGUCCAUUUCUGACGCUGAAUUGCGAAAGCUAGGGGAGCAAACAGAAUUAGAUACUCUGGUAGUCCUAGCCGUAAACGAUGAGCACUAGGUGUUGGCCCUUUACGGGGUCAGUGCCGCAGCUAACGCAUUAAGUGCUCCACCUGGGGACUACGGUCGCAAGGCUAAAACUCAAAAAAAUUGACGGA